AGGGUGAGGGAGGGGGUGGGAUGGGUGGGGGGUAACGGGGGAAACUGGGGAAGUGGGGAACCGAGGGGCAACCAGGGGAAGAUGGGGUGCUGGAGGAGAGCUUGUGGGAGCCAAGGAGCACCUUGGACAUCUGGAGUCUGGCAGGAGUGAUGACGGGUGGAGGGGCUAGCUCGAGGCAGGGCUGGUGGGGCCUGAGGCCAGUGAGGAGUGUGGAGUAGGCGCCCAGGCAUCGUGCAGACAGGGCGACAUCAGCUGGGGACGAUGGGCCUGAGCUAGGGCUGGAAAGAAGGGGGAGCCAGGCAUUCAUCCCGGUCACUUUUGGUUACAGGACGUGGCAGCUGGUUGGACGAGGGGAGCUGGUGGGCAGGGUUUGAUCCCAGGGCCUGGGCAACGGAGGUGUAGCUGGCAGCAGCGGGCAGGUGAGGACCCCAUCUGCCGGGCAGGUGAGUCCCUUCCCUCCCCAGGCCUCGCUUCCCCAGCCUUCUGAAAGAAGGAGGUUUAGGGGAUCGAGGGCUGGCGGGGAGAAGCAGACACCCUCCCAGCAGAGGGGCAGGAUGGGGGCAGGAGAGUUAGCAAAGGUGACAUCUUCUCGGGGGGAGCCGAGACUGCGCAAGGCUGGGGGGUUAUGGGCCCGUUCCAGGCAGAAAGAGCAAGAGGGCAGGGAGGGAGCACAGGGGUGGCCAGCGUAGGGUCCAGCACGUGGGGUGGUACCCCAGGCCUGGGUCAGACAGGGACAUGGCAGGGGACACAGGACAGAGGGGUCCCCAGCUGCCACCUCACCCACCGCAAUUCAUUUAGUAGCAGGCACAGGGGCAGCUCCGGCACGGCUUUCUCAGGCCUAUGCCGGAGCCUCGAGGGCUGGAGAGCGGGAAGACAGGCAGUGCUCGGGGAGUUGCAGCAGGACGUCACCAGGAGGGCGAAGCGGCCACGGGAGGGGGGCCCCGGGACAUUGCGCAGCAAGGAGGCUGCAGGGGCUCGGCCUGCGGGCGCCGGUCCCACGAGGCACUGCGGCCCAGGGUCUGGUGCGGAGAGGGCCCACAGUGGACUUGGUGACGCUGUAUGCCCUCACCGCUCAGCCCCUGGGGCUGGCUUGGCAGACAGUACAGCAUCCAGGGGAGUCAAGGGCAUGGGGCGAGACCAGACUAGGCGAGGCGGGCGGGGCGGAGUGAAUGAGCUCUCAGGAGGGAGGAUGGUGCAGGCAGGGGUGAGGAGCGCAGCGGGCGGCGAGCGGGAGGCACUGGCCUCCAGAGCCCGUGGCCAAGGCGGGCCUCGCGGGCGGCGACGGAGCCGGGAUCGGUGCCUCAGCGUUCGGGCUGGAGACGAGGCCAGGUCUCCAGCUGGGGUGGACGUGCCCACCAGCUGCCGAAGGCCAAGACGCCAGGUCCGGUGGACGUGACAAGCAGGACAUGACAUGGUCCGGUGUGACGGCGAGGACAGAGGAGGCGCGUCCGGCCUUCCUGAACACCUUAGGCUGGUGGGGCUGCGGCAAGAAGCGGGUCUGUUUCUUUACUUCCUCCACGGAGUCGGCACACUAUGGCUGCCCUCUGGGCUCCCAGAACCCACAACAUGAAAGAAAUGGUGCUACCCAGCUCAAGCCUGGGCCUUUGAAUCCGGACACAAAACCCUCUAGCUUGGAAAUGAAUAUGCUGCACUUUACAACCACUGCACUACCUGACUCAGGAAUCGGCUCUGGAAGGUGAGCACCAGCGCUCCUUCCGGAAGCCUCCAGGCCCCCGAGCACCCUGCCCCCAUCCCACCCACGUGUCGCUAUCUCUAGGUGAAGCUAGAGGAACCAGACCUCAUCAGCCCAACAUCAAAGACACCAUCGGAACAGCAGCGCCCGCAGCACCCACCCCGCACCGGCGACUCCAUCUUCAUGGCCACCCCCUGCGGCGGACGGUUGACCACCAGCCACCACAUCAUCCCAGAGCUGAGCUCCUCCAGCGGGAUGACGCCGUCCCCACCACCUCCCUCUUCUUCUUUUUCAUCCUUCUGUCUCUUUGUUUCUGAGCUUUCCUGUCUUUCCUUUUUUCUGAGAGAUUCAAAGCCUCCACGACUCUGUUUCCCCCGUCCCUUCUGAAUUUAAUUUGCACUAAGUCAUUUGCACUGGUUGGAGUUGUGGAGACGGCCUUGAGUCUCAGUACGAGUGUGCGUGAGUGUGAGCCACCUUGGCAAGUGCCUGUGCAGGGCCCGGCCGCCCUCCAUCUGGGCCGGGUGACUGGGCGCCGGCUGUGUGCCCGAGGCCUCACCCUGCCCUCGCCUAGUCUGGAAGCUCCGACCGACAUCACGGAGCAGCCUUCAAGCAUUCCAUUACGCCCCAUCUCGCUCUGUGCCCCUCCCCACCAGGGCUUCAGCAGGAGCCCUGGACUCAUCAUCAAUAAACACUGUUACAGCAA
ensembl:lncRNA H19 H19 imprinted maternally expressed transcript